CUUCAGAGCAGAAGCCUCAGAAAGCCAGAAGCGAGGAGACAGAAAUCCUGCAAGAAUGUUUGUUUCCCAAAGAAUGCCUUCUGCCCCUCAGAAGACAAUUAGCAGGCUUGGGGUUUUGAAGCCAGAAAGGCCUCUUCAGAACAUGAGUGGGGCCCCAAACUUUUACAGAUAUAAAAAAAAUGAAGCUUUUCUCAUGAUAUCCGCUCUAGUCUCACAUGCAACAUGAUACUGUCAGCUGAGAACAACGCCACCAUACAGGAACCGAAGAACGCAAGAUUUCGUUUUUCAAUAGCGGAGUCCAGUGGAAAUUAAACAUGAUACGCACAGUUCCAUGUUUAGGAUUAAAGAAAGAGAAUGUCGGAACAGAGAGCCAGAGUCGGAAAUGAUGCUUUAAAACACAGGAAAGGAGAAUUACGCAAAACAUUGACAUUUCUAAGUCAAUGUUUAUGAACGCAAAUGUGACAGUUACAAUGAAGGUCAUUGCUAAUGCAAAGGCAGCGUCUGUCCCUGACGGCUUUGGAGAGAUGAGCUCCAAGCACUCAUAGGUCGUUGUUGUUGGCAUGGAUUGCCUAGAGCCAUUUUGUCAAGUCCCUUUAGAUACCCCACAAAUACAAAGAUAUUUGUGUAAUAGGAAGCAUUUAAAAAUAUAUACGUAAGGAUUCAAAUCCAUUGUACCAAAUAAAUAUCAGAAAACCUUCUAGCAGCUGGGAGGACUGGGAAACUAAGUAUCAAUUGAAACCCUGCAUGUUUAGACUUAUUUAUAAAUAAAUUCUAGUUUUCUUCCUCAACAGCUCCAGACAGGAUCAGUUUGAAAAAAAACUGCGGAGAAAAAACAGCUGAAAUAGAAAUACGGAAAUCGUUUUAUAGGAACUGAGCCGAGGAACAGUUAAACAUACACGGUGAGAACAGAAAAGGAAGUAACUGAUUCCAUGUCUAACAACCGCGAAUAAGAUUUAAAAGACGCGUACACCUUUAAAAGUGGGACAGCAUCUCUCAAAAUGUAGUGAGAGUAAGAAAACUAUCACAGGCAAGAAGUGCGUUUCACUUACUAAGAGAGCUAUGAGUGCCACACUUUUGCACAAAUAUCGACCACUAAGUUUGCCUUUUUAAUACAGUGAUUUAGAACUGAAAUCUUUGAAAAUGUAUGUUGACUUAAGGUGCAUAACACAGAUGUGUCUGCAUGGAGCCUCUCUACAGACGUCACAUGAGCAGCGCCUGCGCUUGAUAGAAACCGUUCCUCAGCUGUGAAGAAGCGGAACCAACUUCUGCCCAAAUCUUCCGCUGACACAGGACUAUUUACGACCCUGGGUCUAUCACAUUGGUUCUGAAGUAGCUGCUUUUGAGGCUUGGGGACCAAACCCACGCUAAGAGCACACUGAACCAAUACUCUAGCCCACCCGAACUAAAACUUUAAACAUGCUUUUCUGUCUUGGAGAAUCUAAAAAACAAACAAAUGAAUGCCCAAGGCUUUCCGUCUUUUCCAGGGUAAGCUUCCAAUGAACGACUUGCACGUUAGCAAGCAGCCAUGUAAAUUCAUCAGGAAGUUUACAAAUCACUACUGUUUCGGCUCAAACCUCGUUCCCGUUCACACGGAUGUAACAUGUUAACGGUUACCUCCUCCUCCUCCAGCCUUUUCAAGGAAUCACCAGCGAAUUUAAUGUACUGCGUCAUAAGAGUGACCAGGGCAGUGUACCUCGUCCGUAGGUCCAUGAACUGCAAGGAAGACGUGAGGAGAGCAUUAUCUCUGCGACCAGCAAGAUGCGUGAAUGCCGACCGAUGCCCAUGCUACCGACUAGGCCUUGAGGACUAAGGCAUACACUUAUCCAAAGUGGGUCUCACUGGCUGCCACCUUUGUACGCCACACCAACUCAUAACUUCCUUCUGGGUUUAAUCAGGAAAGGCAUUCUUUUCUGUGUUAAUAAACGAUCUUGACUUUAAAAGAGUUUUUAAAGAGAUGUAAUAAGAUGUUGUGCCGUGGCAUUUUACAUCAGGAGUGAUUUAAAAGAAAUACUAAAGCGAUAUACUAAAAUGCCAUUAAAUCAUUUAUAAAUAAUUAAAACGGCCAGUUUUAUUUUAGGUAUGUUUUACCAGGAUAAAAGUCAAAGUGUUUUUAAAACAUCCUCUCUCUCUCUCUCUCUCUCUCUCUCUCUCUCUCUCUCUCUCCCCCUCCCUCCCUCUCUCUCUCUCUCUCUCUCUCCCCUGCCCAUCCUCUGCCCUUCUACAUUCGUCACCUCUUGAAUAAUGAGGUCCGCCGAGCUCUGUAUCCGCCGACGCUUCAUUGGUGACUUCUGCUGGGAAUCCACCAUGGCCCUGUAGGUCAUUGUUUGCAAUUCAUAGUCCUGCACGAAAGAGCCAAUGUGAUACAGUUAAUCCAAGCAAAGCCUGAAGGCUUCAAUCCACAGGGACUGACCACAGGACAUGGGUAACUAGUUCACUGAAAUAAUCUUAAAUAAAAAAGCUAAAUGGUGAGUACUACA